rnacentral:rRNA from 1 species
AUUGAACGCUGGCGGCAUGCCUUACACAUGCAAGUCGAACGGUAAAAGGUCUUCGGAUGCUGACGAGUGGCGAACGGGUGAGUACUACAUCGGAACGUGCCUAGUCGUGGGGGAUAACUACUCGAAAGAGCGGCUAAUACCGCAUGAGAUCUACGGAUGAAAGCAGGGGAUGGCACGACCUUGCGCUACUCGAGCGUCCGAUGGCAGAUUAGGUAGUUGGUGGGAUAAAAGCUUACCAAGCCGACGAUCUCUAGAUGGUCUUAGCGGACGAUCAGCCAGACAGGGACGGGGAGACGGCCCAGACGCCUACGGGAGGCAGCAGUGGGGAAGUUUGGAUGAUGGGCGAAAGCCUGAUCCAGGAAGGCCGCGUGCAGGAUGAAGGCCUUCGGGUUGUAAACUGCUUUUGUAAGGAACGAAAAGCACUGGGUUAAUACCCUGGGGUCAUGACGGUACCGUAAGAAUAAGCACCGGCUAACUACGUGCCAGCCGCCGCCGUAACAC